GGGCGGCCGGUUUGGCCCGGGCGGCCGGGGGGCGGCAUGGCCAGGGCGGCGAAAGCGCUGACGACCCUGAGGAAUCACUGGAAGAAAACCACGUUCGGGGUCUGCCUGCUGAGCUGGGGCGGGCACUGGCUCUAUGGGAAGCACUGCGAUAACCUGCUACGAAGAGCUGCGUGCCAAGAAGCCCAGGCUUUUGGCAACCAGCUGAUCCCUUCCAGUAUGCCACUGAAGAAAGCGACAGUGUUCCUCAACCCAGCAGCUUGCAAAGGCAAAGCCAGGAACCUUUUUGAAAAGAAUGCUGCUCCAAUUUUGCACUUAUCAGGCUUGGAUGUAACUGUGGUUAAGACUGAUUAUGAGGGACAAGCAAAAAAGCUGCUGGAAUUGAUGGAAAACACGGAUCUGAUCAUUAUUGCAGGAGGAGAUGGCACAGUACAAGAGGUCAUAACUGGACUUCUCCGCAGAGCAGAUGAGGCUGUCUUCAGUAAGAUCCCUAUAGGAUUCAUACCUCUUGGGAAGACCUGCACUCUGAGCCACACGCUCUACCCUGAGAGCACGAACCAAGUCCAACAUAUUACUAAUGCUACACUGGCCAUUUUGAAGGGAGAGACAGUUCCACUUGAUGUCUUGCAGAUCAAGGGAGCAAAAGAACAGCCUGUGUUUGCAGUGACUGGUUUAAGAUGGGGAUCUUACAGAGAUGCAGGAGUUAAAGUUAGCAAGUACUGGUACCUUGGGCCUCUGAAAACCAAAGCAGCUCACUUUUUCAGUACAUUUAAGGAAUGGCCUCAGAAACGUCAAGCUGCUCUCAUGUAUCUGGGUCCAACUGAAAGACCUCCAGAAGAGCCAGAGGAGAAACCAUCCAGACCUCCUUUGUAUGUGAGGCUUUACAGACGACUUCAGUUGUACUGGUCAUCUCCUCCAAAAGAAAUCCCCCAGGAUGUAACCCCAGAGGACUGGGAAGAACUGAAGCUAUCCACCAUUGAGCUUUCCAUUGCAACUCGGAACAGGCAGCUUGAUCUGACACGCACUGAAGACUUCAUGGAUAUUUGCAUUGAAGCAGAUACAGUCAGCAAAGGACAGUUUGUAAACAGAGGAAGUCAGAAGAUGCGUGAUCCACAUACGUGCCCUGAAGGGAGUCAGUACAUCCAAGCCAGCAGAUGCAUCUUGCAACUUCCAGAGGGCACUGAGGGAUCCUUUGGCAUUGAUAAUGAGGAGUAUGAAGCUAUGCCUGUGGAGGUGAAGCUAUUACCCCGGAAACUCCGGUUCUUCUGUGAUCCCAGAAUGAGAGAACAGAUGCUCCAUGCAGCAGUACAAUGAGAAUUCAUGUCAAAGGAGCCAGUGUUUACCAGCUUUAUCAGGGCCUUUUCAAGGCACAUGAGACCUCACUGACUGGAUUAACCCCACCAGACUAAUAAGCCAUUUGGCUAUUUUAAUGUGCAAGAUCCAACAGCACAGAGUUCCAGUUAAUAAUAUAGUAGAAAUAUAUUCCUUUGAUCAAGUUUAGGUGUAUUACAGAGAACCAAAUUGGAAAAUGUCAUCAUUGACCCAAAGCUGUAUGAAGUACAUGUGGAAAGACUCUUUUAACAAGCCAAAUGAGUCUUUUUUUCCCACAGGCCUAUGGGAG